AGAGCUGGUUUAUAAUCACAUGUGAUCCCUUGCCUGCGGCAAGCCCGAUGAGUAACAGUGAGAUGAGCAGGACCGCCCAAGUCAUUGCCAGUGGUGCUUUCCUGGGUCCUUCUGCAAAGAUCUGUCUGCCCAACUUGCAUCUGUCAUCUGUGUUUCUACUUGUGAGGUGACACUGUUAACGGCUUCUGCGGUGUGAUGCUAUAUCACAUGUCUCAGUUUCAGGUGUCUGAUACAAUGAUUCAACAAUUCUAUACAAUACUCAACUCUCACCACAGUAAGUUCCUCUUAGGAGAUGGAAUUUUGACUUUUUUCCCCGUAACUGCCUCUACGAUGAAUAAACAGCUCACCCGUCUCAGCUGAGAGAGUACAGCUUCAUGGGUGCCGAAAAAGAUCUCAUGAUUAUUUGGGCUGAUCUAGUUUUGGCAACAGCAGCCAAGCAGGAGGAAUUUUCU